UUAUUUAUUAUUUAUAAUUUUACUGAUUAUGAAGCACAACCAAAAAGAAAUAUAUAAAAUUCUUGUCUAUAUUAAACACUACUACAUAUCAAUGGCUUACGAACAAGUGUGAAUGCAUACAAAUACACUGAUCAUAACCGCUCGUUCUUAUUUGAGAUUUUUUUAAUAAACUGAUUAUAUACGUUUGUACAAAAUAUAAGAAAAAUAUUUCUUUUUGGAUUCCGUCUGUCUUUGUCAAAAUUCUUAUACGCUUUUAUAUAUAGUAUAGAUAUAAAUAAUAAAUAGGUGUUAUCUCAUUCGAUUGCAAUAAUCUCUGCUC
rnacentral:lncRNA from 1 species